CAUAAACAAUCACUUUGUUACCUUAGUUUCAUAGUUUGAAGAAAAAGUAAAUCAUAAUUAGUUGAGAAUUAUUUUGGGUAAUAACCAAAUAAAAGACCUUGACUACAAUGAAACCAUUGCGCAUGUCACAAAGAUGAGAAUUGUAAUCUUAGCCGUUGCCGUGGCGAAACAAUGGGAGUUGCAUCAGAUAUACUUACAUAAUGCAUUCUUACAUGACAAUCUUAAAAAGAAAAACGUUUGAUUAUUUUCUUCCCAAGUUGGAGAUCCACGAUCAUUCUUUGAUCUCACUCCAAUUUAGUAUAUUCGAUCAACUGUACAUAUAUUACAAAUUGAUUGUAAUAAGUAUGAUUUUAAUUUAUUAUUUUAGAAAAUAACUCACAACUUUAAUGUAUAUAUAUUUGACUGACAAUCAAUACCAAGACAGGGAUUCCAUCUCCAAUUAGUUUCUUAAGUUAUAACCAUAUUUCUACUCGAGCACAUUUUUAACAUAAAGAUAAAUUCAUACAUCAUAGCAAUAUAAUUUAUAUGUAUGUAAUUUGUUUUACUUUGUCAAGUACUUUAUAAUCAGUUACUUUAACAAUCAUAGUAUUGAAGCUAGAAAUUCUUUUACUCUUAUAGUUUAAGAAUUUUCUUAAAAAAUAAUUAAUUAAUAUAAAGCAAAAUAUAUCUUCUGCAUUAGCAAUAUUAAUUAGGCAGCAAAAAUCCUCAAAUCAUUUUAAUUUCUUAUGGAAACUGAGAACCAAACCUAGAAAAUGAAUGUUCAACAAACUCUUAAAUAAUAUUUUUAUAGGGAAAGUAUGCAUUUUUUAACCAAGCUUGGAUGAGGAAAAUAUGUUUAAAUAUGGAAAAUUAUCUGCAACUUACUUGUUUGUGGAGGAGAAAUUAAAUAUCCAUGCAUUUACUUGAAGCAAUAAUAUAUUGGAACAAAGUUAUGGUGAAAUGUCUUACCUUGUUUUGAAGGUUGAGUGGGAUACUUGAUAUAUGGAACUCCAACACCGAUGUCAGUUUAACUUGAAGAAAGAAAAGUAUAUGCAAUGCUUU
rnacentral:lncRNA from 1 species